rnacentral:rRNA from 1 species
CAGCAGCCGCGGGAAAACGUAGGGGGCGAGCGUUGUCCGAAGUUACUGGGCGUAAAGCGCGCGUAGGCGGCUUCUUAAGUCUGGGGUGAAAGGUUCAACGCUCAACGUGAACAGUGCCUUGGAUACUGGGGAGCUUGAGUAUGGGAGAGGGCAGUGGAAUGGCUGGUGUAGCGGUGAAAUGCGUAGAUAUCAGUCGGAACACCCAUGGCGAAGGCAGCUGCCUGGCCUAAUACUGACGCUGAGGUGCGAAGGCGUGGGGAGCGAACAGGAUUAGAUACCCCAGUAGUCCCUGUCUCUUAUU